rnacentral:misc_RNA from 1 species
AAAUCUCACAAAUGAAACAUUUUUUGUUUCAAAUUGUGGACUUGGAUUUGCGAUCCUUGGAUUGCUAAUCUGAAAUGAAUUUCAUGAAGCCUUAACUUGCUUUGAAUCUUUGCUUAAUAGUUUUGCUUUGUCAAAUCUUUUGCAAUUGAUUUCAAAAGCCAAAAAAGAAGUGGAUUGAUUUUUACGAAAUCUAAAAUCUCAUU